rnacentral:rRNA from 1 species
UACAGAGGUCUCAAGCGUUGUUCGGAUUCAUUGGGCGUAAAGGGUGCGUAGGCGGCGCGGUAAGUCGGGUGUGAAAUCUCGGGGCUUAACUCCGAAACUGCAUUCGAUACUGCCGUGCUUGAGGACUGGAGAGGAGACUGGAAUUUACGGUGUAGCGGUGAAAUGCGUAGAUAUCCGGAGGAACACCGGUGGCGAAGGCGGCUUCCUGGACCGACACUGACGCUGAGGCGCGAAAGCCAGGGGAGCAAACGGG